UGUCAAACAAAUCCUUGUGGUGUAAAUGCAAAUUGCACUAAUACUGAUGGUUCAUAUAAUUGUACUUGUAACAUGGCUAUGAGGGCAGUGGUUAUAACUGUACAGAUAUCAAUGAAUGUCAAACAAAUCCUUGUGGUGUAAAUGCAAAUUGCACUAAUACUGAUGGUUCAUAUAAUUGUACUUGUAACAUGGGCUUUGAGGGCAGUGGUUAUAAUUGUACAGAUAUCAAUGAAUGUCAAACAAAUCCUUGUGGUGUAAAUGC